UGGGGAAUCUUGGGCAAUGGGCGAAAGCCUGACCCAGCAACGCCGCGUGAAGGAUGAAGUAUUUCGGUAUGUAAACUUCGAAAGAAUAGGAAGAAUAAAUGACGGUACUAUUUAUAAGGUCCGGCUAACUACGUGCCAGCAGCCGCGGUAAUACGUAGGGACCAAGCGUUGUUCGGAUUUACUGGGCGUAAAGGGCGCGUAGGCGGCAAUUCAAGUCAUCUGUGAAAUCUCCGGGCUUAACUCGGAACGGUCAGAUGAUACUGCUUUGCUAGAGUGCAGAAGGGGCAAUCGGAAUUCUUGGUGUAGCGGUGAAAUGCGUAGAUAUCAAGAGGAACACCUGAGGUGAAGACGGGUUGCUGGGCUGACACUGACGCUGAGGCGCGAAAGCGUGGGGAGCAAACAGGAUUAGAUACCCAAGUAGUCCCUGAGCGGGCUGGCAAGGCGCAU
rnacentral:rRNA from 1 species